GAUGAAGAACGUAGCGAAAUGCGAUAAGUAGUGUGAAUUGCAGAAUUCAGUGAAUCAUCGAAUCUUUGAACGCACAUUGCGCCCUUUGGUAUUCCAAAGGGCAUGCCUGUUCGAGCGUCAUUUGUACCCUCAAGCUUUGCUUGGUGUUGGGCGUCUUGUCUCCAGUUCGCUGGAGACUCGCCUUAAAGUAAUUGGCAGCCGGCCUACUGGUUUCGGAGCGCAGCACAAGUCGCGCUCUCUUCCAGCCAAGGUCAGCAUCCACAAAGCCUUUUUUCAACUUUUGACCUCGGAUCAGGUAGGGAUACCCGCUGAACUUAAGCAUAUCAAUAGGCGGAGGA
rnacentral:misc_RNA from 1 species